GUCGAAGCCUCGGGUAUCAGAGGACCGUCACUACUGGUAGCAUCUCUGGCUGCUGUUGACCUUGUUUUCGGAGUAAAACACGGUGGAAGCUGAAUUAGUGAGGAUGACUCCUGCUCCUGUCAUCUCUAAGCUCCUCACACAUCUUUACCUGCACAUGAGGAAAAUCACUCCUGUAGAAUGCAGAUGUUCAGAGGGAGAUGAUGCCACAUCUGGUCCAGCUGAUGGAAGGUCUUGAAGUUGUCUGACUGGCCUCAACUGAAGAUGGUCGUCUCACUGGAUUUAAGGUUCAGAUGCUCAGUAACAAACUCCACCAAUGAGCCAACAGGGAAGCUUUAGGUUUAUUAAAUGUUGCUAUGAAGGUUUCGCUGUUUUUCUUUGUGAAUGCAAUGUGCUCCAACUGAAACUUGAAUUAGAACUUAGAAGUAAAUCCUUCCAUCUGAAAGGAUCUAGUUGCAUUAAUAACCUCAUAGCAUUCAAAUUUUUAUUUCAGUCUUGGCUGGAAAUAGAAUCUCUGUAUUGAUUCAGGUAAAAACUGAACUUCACAGCAUGUUGAAGCAAAACAACCAGAUGAAAACUGUGAUGGUGUUGGAUUGUCAGACCGUAAUGUUGCAGCUCAAAGCAGCUUUUCAAGCUCAGUUCAUUCUGACAUUCAGCUAUGAAUCAACACAGCAAAUGGUGAUCCAUGCUGUGGAAGUCUCACAUCUCCUCAUUUAAUGGAGCUGCUUUGCACUUUUUACACUGUUUAUUCACCAACACUUUAUUUAAUAAAAGUCUCAUCUAGUUUUUAUGAGGAAUGUGAUGUUUUAAUUUCUCUGUGAAUAACUGCAGUCUAAUGCAACAGCUGGAGUUGUAACAUCUGUCCUGAUAUUGAUCAUGAAAUUUUUAUCAGAAUACUUAUGGUCAGCAGUCAUCCCUGAAGUUUUACAUUAAAAUCUUUACUUGUGUUGUGAACUUUGGUAAGAAGCAGAAACUUUUGCGUUGCCAUGGAUACAUGAGUGUUAAAUUCUGUCCAUGAUUCCAUUUUGGGAAAUGCAGUCCAGUUCCAGAAUGUGGAGGAAUUUAGUCUCACAAUCACAGACAACAAAUAUUAUCUGAAAGUCGGGUUAUUGUUGUUUACCAGCACAAUACAAAAAGAUUAAUGUUAGAAAUAUUCCAGUUAAGAAUAUCAUGAUUUAUGUAAAUUUACCUCAAUAAUAUGAAUGUUCAGGUUAAGAUUGUACAGUGAUAUUUAUUAUGCAAGUUUAGCUGAUUAAAGUUUAUGACUCUGCACUAAAAUAUUAUUUAAAUUGACAUCAUUAUUAUAAUAUUUAGGGUCAGACCCUACAGUAUUGAGAUUAAGAAAUCAAAUAUUCUGUAAAAUGUAAAUACACUGAACUCAUUUGGAUAUAUUUAAGUGAGACUCUACAAUAUUAUGUGACACAAAUCUAUCUAAAUCAAAAUUUUAAUAAUUUUCACACCAAACAUUUACUGGACUGAUUUAAACAUUAAAAUCACUCCUUUCUAAUCCUCUGCUGUACGUUCAAACCUGAGGCCUGAAAUAGAAACACACAAGUAUCUGAUUGAAGGAACUUCUGCAGAGUCCUGGUUCCAGAACAUGAUAGAAUUAUAGACAAACUUUAACAAAAGCUGCCUGAGAGUUUACAGGUUUUUAUGUUGGAUUUCUUCAGUAAUUUAAUGAGCGUUAUCAGCAAUAAUCAAGUGUUCAUUUGAAGAACUUAAUUUCCUAAAACAUACAGAAUUGAAGCUCAUAUCUUUGGCAGCUGUAAAGUUUCUGCUCCUUCAAAGAUCACAACACAAUGAAUGAAUUCCUAAAACACUCUCAAUGCUGGAGAGCGUUUGUGAUGCUGAAGCAGUGACCAGUUUUUCUGUUUCUUCUCUGGAGAUGCACAAUGAGGGACGUCUGCAGAGACUGAGAAAGAGUCUCACCACAUCCUGACAUGAGGAAAAAGACUUUAUUGAAGACUACAAUGAGAAAAACUAUCAGACAGCAGACGGCUGCAUUCAAGAGAAGAAGAUCAUCAAACAUCCAUGUCAGCUGAUGGACGUCCAAGAGUCUCACCCAACAAACAACCUACAGAGUGAAGACCUCAAAUCUGAUUGGACGGCCUCCUAUUCAGCCACAUGUGUGAACAAAUGCCUCUAAGUUGAUUUGUUUUCUAAAAUAAAUCUAGUUUGAGUCCUAAUCUAUACCUGAGUGUUUGCUUCUUUA
ensembl:lncRNA